CCUGUACUGUGUUGUAUUCAUAUGUUUUACCUGCUCCCACUUCGGGUUCCGUUCGCCUCCUGAACUCCCGAAUGUUGUCUUAGAACGUUCACACCUUGUAAUGAGGUGUUGAAACCACAAACUGCAAGGGAAGCCUCAGAGCGUCCCGACCCUGGGUGGCAGCCCAUUCGUUGGACGAACGCCAUCUAGGGGGAGCAUUUGUGGACUGCUUCCCACCUCGUUCGGUUCCUGAACGGGGAUCUCCCCAGUGCCCUUGGAGUGUUCAUGCCAAUCAAUUAGAAAGUGUGAAACUACAAGGGAAGUAAUUAAAGAGUGCUUUCUUGGGUGGCCGCCGUUUGUAUAGAAGAGCGGCAGCCAGGGGGAGCAUUCGUGUCCCGAAAGGAGACACUUCCCUCGCCUGGUUUUACCCAGGGCCCCGACAAGCGGUGGCAGUUACUGUUCUGGGGGACCCUGAGAUUGGUGGGGACACUCUUUUGGGGACAAUGGCGUUUGGCAGGCUUUCUGUGGCUGGGAGUCACAGAGGCGGGAAGCUUUAAGUAAGUGUCAG